AUUGAACGCUGGCGGCAGGCUUAACACAUGCAAGUCGCACGAUCGGCGGACGGGUGAGUAAUGUCUGGGAAACUGCCCGAUGGAGGGGGAUAACUACUGGAAACGGUAGCUAAUACCACAUACCAUCAGAUGUGCCCAGAUGGGAUGAGCUAGUAGGUGGGGUAAUGGCUCACCUAGGCGACGAUCCCUAGCUGGUCUGCGAGGAUGACCAGCCACACUGGAACUGAGACACGGUCCAGACGCCUACGGGAGGCAGUAGUGGGGAAUAUUGCACAAUGGGCGCAAGCCUGAUGCAGCCAUGCCGCGUGUGUGAAGAAGGCCUUCGGGUUGUAAAGUACUUUCAGCGAGGAGGCGUUACUCGCAGAAGAAGCACCGGCUAACUCCGUGCCAGCAGCCGCGGUAAUAC
rnacentral:rRNA from 1 species